GUGUAAUGGAGAAUGUCAGGAAGUAUGGCACCCAGGGAGGCUGCAGAAGGUGACCAGAGAGAUGCCUUGAAGACCAGAAGAAAGGACACCUACAAAACCCCUUGGCCACUUCAAAAUAAGGUCCUCUGUAUCGGAGCUACAGUACUAAUGUGUCAAUAUCCCUGGGGAAGGCUAGCAAGUGAAGGAUUAGCCCUCGGCUCUCACCAACUUUCAGAUCCGUAGCGCCUGGAAGCAAUGCUCAUGUAGGAAUUUGCUAGCAGCUUUGGUGCCGCUACUUAGAAACAGAAGGAGCUGCCUUGUGCCAGUUCAGGUCAUCUGGCUCACCAUCGUCACCACUGAUCAGCAACAGAUCGCCAGGGUUUCAGGCAAGAGUCUUUUCCAGCCCAAGCUGGAGUUGCUGGGGUUUGAGGCUAGGACCUUUUGCAUGCAAAGCAGUUGAACGACAGCAUUUCCCCAAACAGCCUCAAGUGGAGAAAAUCCUCCACCUGGUGGAAUGGCUAUGCCUGAGGACAGUUCACAGCGAGAGGAGUCUGACUUCUCAGCAAUGCAGAUAAUGGCCCUGCUUCUCAACUUUCAACGUUGGGUUCUAGACUGCCAUAGUAGACCUUUGAAAAGAAUUCCACAUCUAGACACUGAUACGGAGGAAGAGGAGCCCACUAACUGUUAUUCCCUGCAUACAUCCUCCAUAUACUUUAGUGCUACACAUGGCUGGGUUUGCUAGAGACGAUUUAGUCUCAAAAAUGCAGCUCUGCUGUUUAUUUGCUUUGAACCAGAGGUGGUUGUUUUUUUCUUGUAAAGCUGUAUCCUUAAAAUGAACUCUCUGUGACUUGGGUGGAAGAUAUCAACAUUUGGAUACCAUGAAAAUGAAUUCUACUCA